GACGAACGCUAGCGGCAGGCCUAAUACAUGCAAGUCGAACGGUAAGGUCUCUUCGGAGAUACACGAGUGGCGGACGGGUGCGUAACACGUAUGUAAUCUACCCUAAAGAGGGGGAAAGUCAAUGGAAACGUUGAAUAAUCCCGCAUAAUAUCUACCUUUCGCAUGUUGAGUAGAUAAAAACUCUGGUGCUUUAGGAUGAGCAUGCGUCCCAUUAGUUAGUUGGUAAGGUAAUGGCUUACCAAGGCAAUGAUGGGUAGCUGGUCUGAGAGGAUGAUCAGCCACACGGGCACUGAGACACGGGCCCGACUCCUACGGGAGGCAGCAGUAAGGAAUAUUGGUCAAUGGGGGAAACCCUGAACCAGCCAUGCCGCGUGAAGGAAGAAGGCCCUCUGGGUCGUAAACAUCUUUUCUGUGCGGAUAAUUGUGUACUAUAUGUACACUUGUAGGUAACACAGGAAUAAGCACCGGCUAACUACG
rnacentral:rRNA from 1 species